rnacentral:rRNA from 1 species
CCUACGGGUGGCAGCAGUGGGGAAUAUUGCACAAUGGGGGCAACCCUGAUGCAGCGACGCCGCGUGAGUGAAGAAGUAUUUCGGUAUGUAAAGCUCUAUCAGCAGGGAAGAAAAUGACGGUACCUGAUUAAGAAGCCCUGGCUAACUACGUGCCAGCAGCCGCGGUAAUACGUAGGGGCCAAGCGUUAUCCGGAUUUACUGGGUGUAAGGGGAGCGUAGACGGCAGCACAAGUCUGGAGUGAAAUGCCGGGGCUUAACCCCGGAACUGCUUUUGCAACUGUGCAGCUAGAGUGCAGGCGAGGUAAGUGGAAUUCCAGGUGUGGCGGUGAAAUGCGUAGAUAUUAGGAGGAACACCAGUGGCGAGGGCGGCUUACUGGACUGUAACUGACGUUGAGGCUCGAAAGCGUGGGGAGCAAACAGGAUUAGAACCCUGGUAGUC